rnacentral:snRNA from 1 species
GUGCUCGCUUUGACAGCUUGUAUACUAAAAUUGGAAUAAUACGGAGAACAUUAACAUGGCCCCUGCUCAAGGAUGACAUGCAAAUUUGUGAAAAUUGAAUUU